rnacentral:rRNA from 1 species
CCUACGGGCGGCAGCAGUGAGGAAUAUUGGUCAAUGGACGAGAGUCUGAACCAGCCAAGUAGCGUGAAGGAUGACUGCCCUAUGGGUUGUAAACUUCUUUUAUAUGGGAAUAAAAUGUUCCACGUGUGGGAUUUUGUAUGUACCAUAUGACUAAGGAUCGGCUAACUCCGUGCCAGCAGCCGCGGUAAUACGGAGGAUCCGAGCGUUAUCCGGAUUUAUUGGGUGUAAAGGGAGCGUAGGUGGAUUGUUAAGUCAGUUGUGAAAGUUCGCGGCUCAACCGUAAAAUUGCAGUUGAAACUGGCAGUCUUGAGUACAGUAGAGGUGGGCGGAAUUCGUGGUGUAGCGGUGAAAUGCUUAGAUAUCACGAAGAACUCCGAUUGCGAAGGCAGUUCACUGGACUGCAACUGACACUGAGGCUCGAAAGUGUGGGUAUCAAACAGGAUUAGAUACCCUUGUAGUC